rnacentral:rRNA from 2 species
GUCGAACGACUCUGGUAUUGAUUGGUGCUUNCAUNNUGAUUUACAUUUGAGUGAGUGGCGAACUGGUGAGUAACACGUGGGAAACCUGCCCAGAAGCGGGGGAUAACACCUGGAAACAGAUGCUAAUACCGCAUAACAACUUGGACCGCAUGGUCCGAGCUUGAAAGAUGGCUUCGGCUAUCACUUUUGGAUGGUCCCGCGGCGUAUUAGCUAGAUGGUGGGGUAACGGCUCACCAUGGCAAUGAUACGUAGCCGACCUGAGAGGGUAAUCGGCCACAUUGGGACUGAGACACGGCCCAAACUCCUACGGGAGGCAGCAGUAGGGAAUCUUCCACAAUGGACGAAAGUCUGAUGGAGCAACGCCGCGUGAGUGAAGAAGGGUUUCGGCUCGUAAAACUCUGUUGUUAAAGAAGAACAUAUCUGAGAGUAACUGUUCAGGUAUUGACGGUAUUUAACCAGAAAGCCACGGCUAACUACGUGCCAGCAGCCGCGGUAAUACGUAGGUGGCAAGCGUUGUCCGGAUUUAUUGGGCGUAAAGCGAGCGCAGGCGGUUUUUUAAGUCUGAUGUGAAAGCCUUCGGCUCAACCGAAGAAGUGCAUCGGAAACUGGGAAACUUGAGUGCAGAAGAGGACAGUGGAACUCCAUGUGUAGCGGUGAAAUGCGUAGAUAUAUGGAAGAACACCAGUGGCGAAGGCGGCUGUCUGGUCUGUAACUGACGCUGAGGCUCGAAAGUAUGGGUAGCAAACAGGAUUAGAUACCCUGGUAGUCCAUACCGUAAACGAUGAAUGCUAAGUGUUGGAGGGUUUCCGCCCUUCAGUGCUGCAGCUAACGCAUUAAGCAUUCCGCCUGGGGAGUACGGCCGCAAGGCUGAAACUCAAAGGAAUUGACGGGGGCCCGCACAAGCGGUGGAGCAUGUGGUUUAAUUCGAAGCUACGCG